rnacentral:rRNA from 1 species
UACGAAGGGGGCUAGCGUUGUUCGGAAUUACUGGGCGUAAAGCGAACGUAGGCGGUGUUCCAUGUCAGAGGUGAAAGCCUGGGGCUCAACUCCAGAAUUGCCUUUGAAACGGGGACGCUUGAGUCCGAGAGAGGGUGGCGGAAUUCCUAGUGUAGAGGUGAAAUUCGUAGAUAUUAGGAAGAACACCAGUGGCGAAGGCGGCCACCUGGCUCGGUACUGACGCUCAGGUUCGAAAGCGUGGGGAGCAAACGGG